GUAGGGUCCAAGCGUUAAUCGGAAUUACUGGGCGUAAAGCGUGCGCAGGCGGUUGUGCAAGACCGAUGUGAAAUCCCCGAGCUUAACUUGGGAAUUGCAUUGGUGACUGCACGGCUAGAGUGUGUCAGAGGGGGGUAGAAUUCCACGUGUAGCAGUGAAAUGCGUAGAGAUGUGGAGGAAUACCGAUGGCGAAGGCAGCCCCCUGGGACAACACUGACGCUCAUGCACGAAAGCGUGGGGAGCAAACAGGAUUAGAUACCCUGGUAGUCCACGCCCUAAACGAUGUCAACUAGUUGUUGGGGAUUCAUUUCCUUAGUAACGUAGCUAACGCGUGAAGUUGACCGCCUGGGGAGUACGGUCGCAAGAUUA
rnacentral:rRNA from 1 species